rnacentral:rRNA from 1 species
GAUGAACGCUGGCGGCGUGCCUAAUACAUGCAAGUCGAGCGAACAGAUGAGGAGCUUGCUCCUCUGACGUUAGCGGCGGACGGGUGAGUAACACGUGGAUAACCUACCUAUAAGACUGGGAUAACUUCGGGAAACCGGAGAUAAUACCGGAUAAUAUAUUGAACCGCAUGGUUCAAUAGUGAAAGACGGUUUUGCUGUCACUUAUAGAUGGAUCCGCGCCGCAUUAGCUAGUUGGUAAGGUAACGGCUUACCAAGGCAACGAUGCGUAGCCGACCUGAGAGGGUGAUCGGCCACACUGGAACUGAGACACGGUCCAGACUCCUACGGGAGGCAGCAGUAGGGAAUCUUCCGCAAAGGGCGAAAGCCUGACGGAGCAACGCCGCGUGAGUGAUGAAGGUCUUCGGAUCGUAAAACUCUGUUAUUAGGGAAGAACAAAUGUGUAAGUAACUAUGCACGUCUUGACGGUACCUAAUCAGAAAGCCACGGCUAACUACGUG